CGCACGGGUGCGUAACGCGUGGGAAUCUGCCCUUGGGUUCGGAAUAACAGUUGGAAACGACUGCUAAUACCGGAUGAUGUCUUCGGACCAAAGAUUUAUCGCCCAGGGAUGAGCCCGCGUAGGAUUAGCUAGUUGGAGAGGUAAAGGCUCACCAAGGCGACGAUCCUUAGCUGGUCUGAGAGGAUGAUCAGCCACACUGGGACUGAGACACGGCCCAG
rnacentral:rRNA from 1 species